rnacentral:tmRNA from 1 species
GGGGCUGACCUGGAUUUGACAGCGAGGUAAAGUGGUAUGUAAGCAUGCCGAGCAAUGGGAUACCGGCUCGUAAAUCAUGGAUCUCAACUUUAUUAACUGGCGAAAACAAUUACGCUCUCGCAGCCUAAUCGAAGUAUAGUAGAUGGGCAUUAUCCUUGCUCCAGGAGCUUGGACGAGACAUUUCCCGGGUGCUACUCCCUGAAGCGGCCCGAAUCGGAGAUGUGGAAAAAUCGGGGAUAGUCAUAGGGUUGCUUUGGCCCCAUGGCGAAACUAAAGAAGCUAAGGCGGCGUCCGGGUGUCUGUUCCCAAACGUCGUUCGAAAACCAAUAACAGAAUAAGCAUGUAGAAAGCGUAUGGCUUACUUGUUUGGACGAGGGUUCGAUUCCCUCCAGCUCCACCA